rnacentral:rRNA from 1 species
CCUACGGGAGGCAGCAGUGGGGAAUAUUGCACAAUGGGGGAAACCCUGAUGCAGCGACGCCGCGUGAGUGAAGAAGUAUUUCGGUAUGUAAAGCUCUAUCAGCAGGAACGAGACAAGACGGUACCUGACUAAGAAGCCCCGGCUAACUACGUGCCAGCAGCCGCGGGAAUACGUAGGGGGCAAGCGUUAUCCGGAAUCACUGGGUGUAAAGGGAGCGUAGACGGCUGUGCAAGCCUGAAGUGAAAGGCGGGGGCCCAACCCCUGGACUGCUUUGGGAACUGUACGGCUGGAGUGCAGGAGAGGUAAGUGGAAUUCCUAGUGUAGCGGUGAAAUGCGUAGAGAUUAGGAGGAACACCAGUGGCGAAGGCGACUUACUGGACUGUAACUGACGUUGAGGCUCGAAAGCGUGGGGAGCAAACAGGAUUAGAUACCCUAGUAGUC